rnacentral:lncRNA from 1 species
GACGAAGUGGCAAUUUGCUUUGUAAAACUAGUUGUUUUGGUGCCUGGAGUUUUUUUUUUUUUUAACUCUUGAUUUAUUAUUUAUUGCAAAUUAUGAGAAUUGUUACAAUGACGAUUCUACUACCGACAAUUAUGUCCGACCCUUUUAGAUUCACCACAGAUUACACCAUUUCCUGACGACAUCUCUUUCUCUAUGCGUAGAAUCACGGCAAACGGCUCUAAUUGUGCAAUGUUAUAGAUCUCUUGUAGACUUAUUUCUUUAAUCUGCAAAUUAAAUAAAUCGCAUUACUUGAACGUCGAACCCCAGACCUCUUGAUGUAGAAGAUUUAAACAACCUUUCGUCAACCACUAGACUAAGGG